GGCUAAAAGAUGGCUGCUGGCGCCUGGCAGCCACCGCCUGGGAGGUUACUGUAAGGCCCGCAGCUCCCGCCAGCUCCCGCGGACUGCUGCCGCCUCCUUACCAUGAAGCCAGUAAGUCGUCGCACGCUGGACUGGAUUUAUUCAGUGGUAAGUCCCGGGGAUCGCGGGCCCCCACCGUGUCGACUCACUGGGCCCGCAGGCGGAAAGGCCCUAUUUCUUCAGCACCCAGAAACUCCAAAAUCCAUUCCUGAAUUAAGCAUUUCACUCCCUCACCUCGACUCCGCCUCUUCCUGGAGGAUACGAUCUUCCGCUUCUUACGUAAGGGCUGCUGGGUGUACCCGCCACUGGAACCCCAUUUAUUCGACUUUGUUACUUUAAUUCCCACCUUAGCAAUGGCAACGGUAACCUGACGGGGGCGAGGGGAAAUAUCAGGUAGAUUUCACACCUCCUUUGCGAUUUUUGGUUUAGUUGCUGCUUGCCAUCGUUUUAAUCUCCUGGGGCUGCAUCAUCUAUGCUUCGAUGGUGUCUGCAAGACGACAGCUAAGGAAGAAAUACCCAGACAAAAUCUUUGGGACGAAUGAAAAUUUGUAACUCUUCUGGAUUUAAUUAUCUGAAAAUACAGUUCUUUCCCUCAUGCUUAUGUAGAUAUAAAAAUAAAAUUCAUAAUGCAAAGUU
rnacentral:lncRNA from 1 species